rnacentral:lncRNA from 1 species
CAUUUUCAUCUUUAUUAAUAUCUUUACUCAAAUACAAUAAAAAAGACCAACAAUUCUUUAAAAUAAGCAAAUACAUGUAACAAUACAAUAAAAAUUUUGGCCGUACUAAAUUAUUUUUCUUUCCUAAAUACAAUAGAACAGCCAAUAAUGGAACAAAUUAUAAUGUAACUUAAAUUUAUAUGAUUAAUUGAGAACUAAUUAAUCACAAGAUUUACCAAUUGAUCUUAUGAACAAUUUAGUAUAUAUGGAAUUCGCGUCGAGUUUAACAGAAUCACAGUAAGCCACUGUGAUUCUGAUAAAUUCACGCGAUUCCAAAGAAACGCUUAAAGUCCAGACGUAAAUGGCACGCCUGUGUUUCCUAUCCAUGAAUUACCGGCAAUGAAAUUCCCAACGGUGAAAGGUGAAGCUUGAGAAGCACUGGUAAGAACAUGGUAACCUUUCCAUGUGACCCUAUUUGAAGUAGAUGAACCUGAACCUGUAUUAGCAUAUUCAGCAUAAUAUAAAGUAUCCAAAGCAAAAUUACCAUCCCAUGGUAACCAACCAGCAGGGUUAAUAAAACCAUCAAGAACAGUUUUCAUGAAAACCGUUCUUGAAUAUUUUUGCCACGGUCUACCAAGGUACGAUUUAACCGAACUAGGGUUUAAAUCCGAUUGAGCGGAAACCCUAGAAUUAUGAAUUAUAAUUCCAGUGUUUUGAUUUGGAUCAGUUCUUCCUUGCGCGGUAACUGUGAUGGUUUUUGCAGGCGGGUUUCUUGCGAAAAUGUUACAAUUUUGCAAAACUACCGCGGCGUUACCAAAGAUGAAAUCAACUGUGCCAUAGAUGUUACAUUCUCUGUAAAAUUGUCUCUCUGAGUGAACAUAAAGUGUAUCUUGAUAACCUUCGAAGCUACAUUUGUAAAAGACCGAUAGAUCCGAGCCGGAACGAAAUGCAACAGCUUGGUGAUUUGCUGCUCCAGCUGUGUUUCUAAAUGUGAUGUCUUGAGCAAUAAAUCCAUCACCAGUAGCAGCUGCAAAAAAAAAAGUAUUAAUAAACCUAACGUGUAGCACAAGCAAUUGAAAUGAAAAAGAGUAAUAAAAAAAAAGUUGCAUUGACUAUUAGUUUAUGUGUACAUUUUUCAAAUCUCAAAGUGACAUUCUAACCAAUUGCAGAUUCCAAUCCAAAAUGCAUGACGUGUGUACUAUGAUUAAUUUAUAUAGUUCAACUGAUUAUUAAGUAAUGGUAUACAUGGUUCUAAAGCCCCACAUUCUUCUUUUAAUUAAAGGAUCUUCAAUAGAAUAAGACUAUACUAAAGUGGGUCCUACAUUGGAUGUGAAUUGUGAAAACAAGUUUGAGCUACCAAUUAAGAAAUUAGUUAGAGUGUUACCACAUUGGAAACUAUAUAUACGGUCCAUUAAGAAAAAAUAUUAAUCUAGUAAUCUAGAGGGGAAAGAUGUGGUUUUCUUUAUGUUAUAGUCGGCACGUCUUCUUCUAAAGAUUUGACUACUAAAAAUCUUAUUUUGAUCCUUGUCCUAGCCAAACCUAAGACAAUACAUGUGCUCCUUCAAUUUUGAAAGCUACACACUAAUUCAAUCAUACAUGUAAAUGAUUCAAAUCAUAGGCUAAAACUUUAUUGGUAUGUUAAUUUCAAUCCACGAUAUUCAAUUCAUUAUGUUUUUGGGAUCAAUUAUUGUGGUCUAAUAAAUUUAUUAAUUAUUAGAUUAAGGGACAUAAUUCAACUUUGCUGCUUGCUUUUAUAUAAUUAGGAUUAGGAUUAGGAUGCCUGUUUUUAUUUUAGAGGGGAAAAUUAGGAUAAUGAUGUAUCAUAGAAGGACUAUAAAGAGAUUUUAAAGUAAUCAUAAUGGCAUAAUGUAUAAUUUUGAAUAGUUAUUUAUAUCCUUUGGUCUAUUAUCUAUUUUCUUACUCAAAGACUCAUUUGUAUGUGAGUAAUUGACAAUUUGCCAUAAACCACACAAAUCUAAAGUCAAUACGAAAAUUAUUCAAGUUCAAUAAGAUAUGCAACCUUAACACCGGCCGAAAAGGACCGUUGUUAUACAUAGCUUCUCAUUCUAGAGGUUAUUUUCUAUAGUCCUACUCAUAUAAUGAUUUAUUUAUUUUUCAUAAAACAAAAAUAUAUGUAGAUUAUAGUAGUAGCAAGUAUAUAUAUUUAUUUUUAUUAAUUAUAAAAUUAUAAUAAAUUAUAAAAGUAUAAAUAUAACAAAUAACUUAAAGGUUAGAGAUAACCAAUUUUUUUUUGUAAAUAUUAAAUAUUAAUUUAAAUUGUUGAAAAUAAAUAAGUAUAUCCGCUUACCUUCCAUUCAUGUGUAACUUUCAUGUAUAUACAUAAAUAAUUAGUUAAAUUAAUUUAUUUGAAACAUAUAGCAAAUUUAUUCAUGAGUAAAAAAAAGCAUAUUAUGUAUUCUUUUAUAGCUUUGAAUUAUUCCGACUAGUUAAGUUUCUAAGCAAGAAAAGCAAAAGAUUAUUCAAUAAAGGAAAGUGACUAAUUAAUGAUUUAAUUAUUGGUUUAUAAAAUGUAUGAACUUAUUUUUUUGGUCAAGAAAUUUAUGAACAUUUUAACAAUAAGCUACGGUAAAAUAAAUUGUUACUAGAAGUGCUUACCAACGGUUGCUGAACGGAAGGUAGUGGUGCCACCUCCAACACUUUUGCUACCAGUGAUUAUGGUUUUACCAAUACCGUCACCCACCAACAUGACAUUCUUUGCUUUAAUCUCAACUUGUUCAUUAUACACACCAGCCUUCACAUAUAUCACAUACCUUCCACUACCACUCGGCGCAGCAUCCGUCGCGGCCUUCACCGUCGUAUACUUACCCGAACCAUCUUUAGCAACGACGACAUUAGCCUUCGAAGCCGCGGAAGAAGUUUGAAGAAGUUUCCUAUCACCAGGUUUAACCCAUGUUGGAAACCCAUCUUUGUAACUUGGUUGUUGGUAAGGAACCUUGUUAAGAGACAAGGUGUUACUUAACAACUUUGUUACAUUAUUAGACAACAAAGGUAAGACAUAGUUUGUGACACCAAGGUCAUAAAAACCAUUUUUACAUGUUUCAAGAUUUGUUAAAGCUGUACUAAGCCAUGUUUGGGAUUCAUAUUGUGUACACUUUGUGUAUUUUGUUUGGCUAAGCUUUUGGACUGUGAAAUCAUAGAGUUCAAGACAAUCUGCCCAAGCAGCUUUUUCUUGUGGGCUACGGCACUUUGGACCAACUGCAUGUGUAUUUUCUUCACCCUUUUUUGCUCUCUCCAUAGCAAUUUCAAGUGAAACUUUGAAAAAAUCUGAUUUACUUUUUAUGGUUUGAUUGAAAGCAUUAUUGGUUAAAUAAUACUCACAUGGUUGAGGAUAAGGGGUUUGGCUACACCAUGAUUUUAUGGAACUUAAUGAGUAACCAUAAACAAUAGUGGAGAAAAGAAAUGGAAAUAUUAAAAGAGUUGUUACCAAAGGAAAUGAAGCCAUUGAAUGAAAAAUGAUUUUAGGGUUUGGUUUGAUGAGAAAUUUAGAGAAGGGUUUAUGAGGUUUUGG